GUGCUCAGCUUCAGUAGCACAUAUACUAAAACAAUUAGAACAAUACAGAGAAGAUUAGCAUGGCCCCUGUAAAGGAUGACAUGCAAAUUCUUGAAGCAUUCCAUAUUUUU
rnacentral:snRNA from 1 species